CUAUGGUGCAAGGAACUUGGGGAUACCUGGACCCAGAAUACCUACACACAAGUCAAUUGACUGAUAAGAGUGAUGUGUAUAGCUUUGGAGUAAUACUUGUGGAGCUACUGACAAGUAUGAAGGCACUUUGCUUUAAUCGUCCCGAGGAAGAGAGAAGUCUGGCUAUGUAUUUUCUUUCUUCUGUGAAAGGGGGGAAAUUAUUUGAGGUUCUUGAUAGUCGUAUCAUAAAUCAAGGAAAGGAAAAGCAGAUGGAGGAAGUGGCGAGGCUAGCCACUCGUUGCUUAAGAUUGAAAGGGGAGGAGAGGCCCUCUAUGAAGGAAGUUGCAAUGGAAUUAGAGGGCCUAAAAAUGAUGGAAGCGCG
rnacentral:misc_RNA from 1 species